UACAUGGGGUGCAAACGUUGCUCGGAAUCAUUGGGCGUAAAGUGCGCGUAGGCGGUUGCUUAAGUCGGAUGUGAAAGCCCUCGGCUUAACUGAGGAAGUGCAUCCGAAACUGAGCGCUAGAGUACGAAAGAGGGUCGCGGAAUUCCCGGUGUAGAGGUGAAAUUCGUAGAUAUCGGGAGGAACACCGGUGGCGAAGGCGGCGACCUGGGUCGAGACUGACGCUGAGGCACGAAAGCGUGGGGAGCAAACAGG
rnacentral:rRNA from 1 species